GGAUUAAUACCCCAUAGUAUACAGAGACUGCAUGGUUUUUAUAUUAAAGAUUUAUCGGUAAGGGAUGGGCAUGCGUAGGAUUAGUUAGUUGGCGGGGUAACGGCCCACCAAGACUGUGAUCCUUAGGGGUUCUGAGAGGAAGGUCCCCCACACUGGCACUGAGAUACGGGCCAGACUCCUACGGGAGGCAGCAGUAGGGAAUAUUGGGCAAUGGGCGGGAGCCUGACCCAGCCAUGCCGCGUGCAGGAAGAAGGCGUUAUGCGUUGUAAACUGCUUUUAUACGGGAAGAAAAGGCCCAUGCGUGGGACAUUGCCGGUACCGUAUGAAUAAGCACCGGCUAACUCCGUGCCAGCAGCCGCGGUAAUACGGAGGGUGCAAGCGUUGUCCGGAUUUAUUGGGUUUAAAGGGUGCGUAGGCGGCCCGUUAAGUCAGCGGUGAAAGUCUGUGGCUCAACCAUAGAAGCGCCGUUGAUACUGAUGGGCUUGAGUGCCGUAUGGGUACAUGGAAUUGAUGGUGUAGCGGUGAAA
rnacentral:rRNA from 1 species